AAGACAUCCAGCCUGUCGCUCUCUCGCUGCUGGGUGACUGAAGCUGCUGCCAAACCUCAUCGUCUUUAUUUUGGUUUUGUUGUACAUUUUCAUUACACCAGUCCAUAACACAUUACACAUAGUUAAGCUGCCAUCUACACUGAUACUUAAUUUCCUUGUUAGGGCCUUUUAUUGUUAAAUAAAUAUACCAAAAGCUUGUCAGUGCGUGUCUCCCAAUUUGUUAUGCCAUGCUUGAGCCAUGUGGUCAUAACACAGGCCUAUGCCAUCAAAUCCAAAUCUGCAGCCGAGGUCACACAGUGCAUUCUGAAAUUUGUAUAUCAAUUUGAGGUGCCACAGAGAAUACUCACUGACCAAGGAAGAGAAUUUGUCAACCAACAUAACACCGUUAUGUGUGCCACAUUUUGGGGAUAAGGACGAGUCUCUGUUCCCAAUACCACCCCCAGACGAAUGGGUUGGUGGAGAUUAAAUGGCACUCUACAGAAGUUAAGAGAUAUAUUUUACAACUAGAUCAAAUGACCAAAUUACCUUGUUAAAGAUCGAAGAAACAGCAUUUAACAUACUCAAAUAAAAGGGUAACAUUAAACUUUUUUCAACUGUCUAGAGCUCUGGGGAAGCUCGCAAAAGAAAAACACAUGGGAUGGAUACCUGGAUGCUGUCAUGUUUAGUUUGCGCACCAAAAGGAAGCUCACAACCAGCCUCUCUCCAUUUUUCCUGAUGUUUGGGAGGGAAGCAGGUAUCCAUCUCAGGUGCAGGAAAACUAUGAGGUCGAUCCUUUGAGGAGCAGUUCAAUGAAGAGAAGGUGGCAAAAAUUGUCAACAUUGUCAAGCAAAAUGUGGAUAAGGUUCAGGAGAGAACCAGAGGGAGAAUGCAAACCCUGCAAAAGAGAAAGUGCUUUAAGGUGGGGGACAUGGUGCGGAGGAAGAAUGUCCGUAGCCUGCAGCGGAAAGGGGGAAAGCUCAAUCCUGAGUUUCUUGGGCCGUUCACAGUGGUGAACAUUGAAGAAAAAAGUGUUGAUCUUGUGGAUAGUUAACUCCACCUGCCACCUCCACGCCACCUGCCAACUCCCCUCUACCUGCCAGCUCAGCUCCACCUGCCACCUCCACUUCAGAGAAAUAUGUUACAGAGGCUUGGGACGGCAAAAAUGUUCAUGUUUUGCUGUUCCGAAUCAGUCCUUACAAGCUGUUCUAUUGGGACAUCUGUAGGACAACUCCGGGUCAGGAACUCGAGAGUGAGGUGAUUAAUGCCACCCUCCUUAGAAUGGUCCAAAAGCAUAAUAGCCAAGAGGGCAAAAAGGCACUUGCCAUUGAUACUUACACAAUGACAAAAUUUUGGAACGUAAAGACUGCAAUUCUAAGGGUCAUCUUCCCCUCAGAUCAGAGGAGCCUUGUGCUGGAUCCACUCGGCAACGAUGGCACCAAGAUAAAAAGAUGUCUGGAGACCACAAGGUAACAGUUGUGUUCUAUGGCCGGUCCCCGGCAGGCGGGUUGCUGUUAUUUAACCAUUGGAUUAUGGGUGAAACAGGUGAAGGGAAUGACCUUGACUGAUGGGAUGAUGCUGUGCAGGUGUGUGAGAGCUUUGGUACCGUCCAUGGUGGUGCAUGAGUGCACCUCAUGCUCUGGUGACUGGGAUCUGCAAUAUGCACGAGUUUCAAGCGUAGUGGCGUAGGAGUUUACAGGCAUGACAAAAACAUGCAGAAAACAUAAGAUCUCCCCCCUACCAAUUACCUUUUUAUUAAAGGUGCUUAAUAAAUACAUUUGAUUAGCACUUGACAGACCCAUUCAAUGGAUAGGGCGUUUAUUACGGUCCUUCACCUUUGCUUCUUUACCCCUAAAAAGCUACAAUCA
ensembl:lncRNA